CGCUGUUGAUAUGAUCCUACACAUGCACGUGUGUGCCCAUGCAUCUAUCAAUCCAAUUUUAUCUUCCAUAUUCCUACAGAUACCUUGUAACUGGAGAUUCCUUCAAAGCGAUUGCCUACAAUUAACAUUACAUUACAUUUAAGUCAUUUAGCAUGUAGAGCAUUGCAAGGUUGGGUGACCAGGGCUAUCUGGGACUGCCUCCUGGAGGAAUUCAGGUGUGUGAAGGCUACCUGUGUCCUGCAUAACUUCAUGAGGAUGGACACGAGGACCAGGAGUGGAUCUGCAGCUCGCCGCCACGAGGAGAAGUCUGCUGCUCUGCAGGAUGUUUCAAGGAUGGGGUCCAACAACGCAGCAAGAGGCAAUCUGUGUGCUGGUGAUCUUCACCUCCUACUUCUUCAAAGAGGGUGCUGUUCCCUGGCAACACCAUAGACUACACUAUGCACAACCAAAGGCUAUUUUAAGAGCCAUUCACAUUGCAAUAAGAGUAUUCUUCCAUUUACUUAGCUAUGUCAACUGCAGUUAUUCAAUUCCCAGUUUCUCUCCCUUUUAUUUCUGCUUCUUGGGUAAGGGUGUGAUGUCUGUAAAAAAAAAACUGGCUAUUUUAAAUCACCCAUAUUGAAAACAUGUAGAACAAUUAGACACCCUAUAACCCACACCUACACACUCAUGUAUCAAUCUGAUUGAUUGAUUGUGCUGUGCUGUGCAGUAAGCAGGCUCAGGUGUAUAACUGUGGCUCCUUCCACCUUAGGCAAGAGGGCCACCCAUGGAGAAUAGUAAGACACUUCAUUAUUUCUAUAACUACGCUAUAUUGUUUGUCCUUGUGUGUCCGUUGAUGUUUUUCAGCAUAAAGUGCUCUGCAGCCACUUAGUGUGGCAUGGACACCAGAUGAGGCCACACACACAGUUUCCUUUUGAACACUGUCCCGUUAACUACCUUAUUUUCUCAAUAAGUCUAUCUCCUUCACUACAUCCCCUUCUCCUCUUCUCUAUAAAUCCUCUAGGUCAUAUCAGCAGUGUCGGUGAACCUAUCCCGCAUCUGAACUGGCUACAUAGAGGCCACAGGAUGAUCAGAGUUCCAUCAUUGCCACCUCACCCACUUUUAAGAUAACCUUCGGGCCGACUAGAGACACUAUUAUGUAAUUGUGAUGAAGUGAGAGAAUAUUUGGGUUGCACUGUGAUUCAUUAAUCAUAUGCUGCCUUCCCUGCUCCUAUAUUCUUACCUCUUUCCCUUUGUCUUUUACACCUCUCGCCACCUCCUCUUUCUUCCUCUGUUUUUAUAAUGCACAACAGAUGUGCAUUGAAGUACAGAUUGAACUUGUAUUUAUAGUAUUACAAUUAUAGUAUUUAUAAUGCUUGUAUUUUAUAACACUUGGAUAAUGAACUGCUUUCAAUAAAGUGUUUCACAUUCUC